UGACCUCGGAUCAGGUAGGACUACCCGCUGAACUUA
rnacentral:rRNA from 1 species